AACCCUUUUCCCAACUCCUCAUCUCACGCGGCCUUCUCCAUCCAACUCCUCUCCGGCAAACUCCUCUCUAGCGAACCCCUCUCCGCGAACCCCUCCUCCAAUCUCCUAAUCUCCUCUCCGUCAAGACCGCGGGAUUAAUCUCUUCGCCUCCGUCGCCUCAUUCACGCUUCCUUCACACUGCCCAAUCUCUUUGAUUCGUGGGUUUAAUCUCUUACCCGUCCGAUAUCGAGCAGUUCUUCCUUUUGCUUCAACGGGCGAAGGCGAAAAGGUUUCCUUUUGAACUCUCCGGCGGAACCCGAGCAUCCCGCGAGAACGUUGCUUCGAUUCGUGGGUAUCCAGUCCGAUCUCCGGUUUCCGGCCUUCGUUCACGCAAGAAUUUAGAUCUCGCUUCUGGAUCCCUUCUGAACCUGUUCGGAUCGAUCCUUUUCUGGAGAUUUGCCUUCCAUUCUGGGUUUAGAAUCUGGUUGCUGCUUGCAUGGGAGAUGGUGGCGCCAUGGCUAUUGAAGUCAUGAAGAUUGAGCAAAGUUGUGUGGAGAACAAGCAACCAGGGGCUGCUUCGAGUUCAUCCAUGUCUGAAGGAAGUUAUGGGUUUUCUGGGAUGUCUCCGUCUGUUUGUAGCUCCUCGAGGUCUUCUCCAUCCCAUAGUGGCUUCUUAUCAAUCCUAGUGGCUAGUCGCUUGGAUGUAGAUGUUCCAGUUCUAAUCAACACAAUGACACUCUAAAAUGGAUAAGAACAAGAAGCCAGAGAAGGUGAGUGGAGAAAUCCGGUUGGCGGACUUCUCUUUGGGACUGCUGCACAACAGGGUUGCCGGAAGUGUCGUCGGUGCGCAGAGGGAGCACGCCGCGCUCAUGCAAGCCCAGAGGAAGUUUCAGAUCGCCCACUACAGGAGGACUCCGGCCAAGAUCGAGGAGUUGGCGGGUUCUAUUGAGUGUCCCGGCAUUGCCAUGAGCGCCUCCCAAGAAGAGAAGAAGUGCAGCUUCAUAACACCGAGUUCAGAUCCUGUGUAUGUUGUUUAUCAUGAUGAGGAAUGGGGAGUUCCAGUUCAUGAUGACAGGAUGUUGUUUGAGUUGCUUGUUCUAACAGGAGCUCAAGUGGGGAUGGACUAGACUACUAUACUGAAGAAGAGGAAUGAAUUCAGGGUGACAUUUGCUGAAUUUGAUGCAGAGUCUGUCUCCAAGUUCACAGAGAAGCAGAUGGUUUCCAUCAGUGUGGAACUGAAGCUGGAUUUAGGAAGAGUUAGAGGAAUAUCACUAUCUACUUUGAAACAGAAUUAGUGUUAAUUUUGAUAUUUACUAGCUUCUUAUGUAAUUAAAUACUAAUAUUACUUCAAUGUCAGAAUCCUAUUAUUUUGGUA